rnacentral:lncRNA from 10 species
CAAAGUCCUUCCCUCUGUGUGUGGACUUCAGUGGAACUCUCAGGUCACAGAGAUUCAGGGUGGUCAGAGGCGGUUUGAUGUUUUGGGGAGAAAGAACAGCCGUGAAGGAUUCUGUGAUGCAGGAGAAGGUGGGAGGCCUCAGGACAGAAUCAGCAGGUCACCAUGCUUUCCUGCGUCAUCCACCUGUGGGCCUCUAAUGUGUUUCUAUGAAGUUUGCAUUAAAGUUUCAGCCACUAUUUUUCAGAAACAUGGUCAACCUCUCCUUCCCUCCUCUAUCUGCUGAUAGAGUUCUACAGAAAACAAGGGAAUGACUUGAGGAGGUGAGGGGGAUUCUGAAGGUUGUUGGUGGAUUCCUAGAAUGUAGCCCGCAGAACUGUGCCUGGAACGAUACCGGAUCACUGCAAAAGUACAGCGAACAGGGUCGCUUUGAAUAUUAAAGGAGGACUUUUUCAAAGUGUAUAGAGAGCAGUCAAAAGAUCGCCACAGUUGCUCUGUGUUUUCGUGAGCCAGCUUUCUCGGAAGGACUAAGCCAGUGGAUCACAAACAUCCUGGAGAGCAGUGACUCUGUGAUUCCAUCACAAGAAUAUGAAGGACUGAGAAGAUCUCCAGCUCUGCCCAUUGCACCUUCCCAUUGAGAAGCAGCAUGGCACCCUGGUGGCAGGGGCUGAUACUCAGCCGGGCCAGGGUGCUCUCCUGUUAACCAUAACCAAGCUCACAGGACAUGGGAUGAGCCCACUGUGUGACACAGGGAGCGGGACACAGUCUGUUAAGUCUUGCACAGCCAUGCUCUGCCACGCAGGCAGGCCUUUCCUUGGCCUCCCUCUCCCUGUUCGUGCUCAUGUGAACAUCCACCUACGUGGAUAGACUGGGCUUUGGUUCAUUAUUGCUCUGUGAAUUCCUCGAACUUCCGCAUCUGCCCAACCUCCCCCACCCCAUUGUUUUCAUUGUGUUUCACCAAAUGGAAAUUCUAGAGUAAGCAUGUGAGUCCUCUCCCAAACUUGUUCACUGUUGAGAGUGCUAAAAUGCUAACCCCAGAUGCUAACUGAGGGGUAGGGUUACCUUAUCUUUAGAGCACUGCGAAUUGUAUGUUAAGUGGAACUUAAUGAAAAAAUAGUUAAUUGACCAACAUGAAUAUCCCCUGAACAGAAUCUCCCCUGAACAGAAUCCUACAAUGAAACUAAGGGAGAUAAAUAAAGCUGUUUACCUGAAAGCUCUCUCUAAUCAAGAUCCUUUGAAAUUUAUAAAACAUGGUCAAUAUUUGCACUGGACUUUGUAAAAAUAAAGCUUGAUAAGAGAAGAGUUUGAAGUGAAAUGCUGCCACUUUCUAUGCAAUAUUUGAUUUAAAUUUAAUUCCUAGAAACCUCAGAUGAAUGUGGUUCAUGUAUCAAAGCACUCAGCAUUAUUUAUCGCGGCCUUAAAUACACAGUGAGCUUACAUGUGAAUGAAUACAUAUAUUAUGUAUCUCUCUCUAUAUAUAUACUAUAUAGAUAAUAUAGUAUAUAUAUAUAUAUAGUGUAUAUAUACACUAUAUAUAUCGUGUAUACAUAUACUAUCUAUAUAGUAUAUAUGUAUAUGGUAUAUAUAUCUAUCUAUAGAUAGAUAGAUAGAUAUACUUAAAAAAACCCCAUUCCCUUAAGAGCAGUUAAGGGACACCAUAUAUCAAAUUUCUUGGCACGUUGUGAAUAUUAAUAUCCCCAAAGUGUCAAUGUCAAAUGAUUUGACUUGAAAUCACUAAGCUUGGUAAUCUCACUAUUUUUAAACAAGGCCUAACAUCUUUUAAUCUUGAAUACCAGCAAGUUCUCAGACUUCAGUUGUUUAUUUUCUCUUUUCUUUCCUUUAAAAAAUUCUGACAAGCUCUUUUCCUUGACACAAAGAAAGCGUAUAAAUUUUAUUUUGGUUUGAACAACAGAAAUUUGCCUCUCAGAAUUCUGGAGAUUGGAAAGUCUAAGGACUAAGCUGCUGGCCAAUUUAGUUCUUAGUGAGGACUCUCUUCCUGGCUUGUAGAUGGCUGCCUUCUCACUGCAUCCUCAGAGAGAGAGAGAGAGAGGGCUCUUGUGUCUCUUCCUUUCUCAUAAAGCGUCAGCUCUCUUGUAUUAGGGUCCCACCCAUAAUUACCCCCUUAUAUGCCCCAUCUACAAAUAGAGUCACAUUGUGGGUUAGAGCUUGGCAGUGAAUAAUUAUGGAGGUUAUUGUUGGCUUUAGAAUUUCGUGGUAGAAACAAUAAAUUGCCUUUGUGUUUACGUUUUAUUUUAUUUUUUUAACAUUAACAUGUAUUUGCAACAAUGAAAACAGCAGGUGAAUACAUUCUGGGUAGGGGAAAAAGUUAGAGGAGUGCUAUCCAGAAGUUAUAUUUCCUAGGAAUAUGGGGAAUAAAACAUUCAAUAUUGGUGGUUCUAAUAGAUGAAUUAAAUUUAAUUUGAUGUGGAGUGGCCAUGUCCCCUGUCUCGGGAUGCCGUGUGAAGCCUGGCUCUUGUGACAGCUGUUUAGAUUUGCUGAAAGAUGUUUUAAGUGUCCUAGGAAAGAGGUUUCCAUUCAUUCUAGAACUGAUAGUUUUCUCUUAAAGUGUUAAUUUACAUUUUAAUGUUGAUGUGGUAUCCAUCUCAGGUUAAUGUUUGGCACUAGGUAAUUGAAUUUUUAAAAAUCUCAUUUUAUUUUCUGUCUGCUUUUGGGAGAGAGAAGUGGUUAGGUUUUUAUUACAGGAAGGAUUUUUCUCUUUCUCUAUUAUAAUACCUGAAAGCAAAUAUAUAUAAGCUAUACAUGAAGUCAUUACAAUUCUUUUUUCUCAUUUUAUUUUCACUUUUGGGAAAGAUUGCUGCCAAUAUUUGUGAGAUCUCUUUUCAGUUCUAUCUUUUACUUCUGCAUGUCCGUUAUCUUAGCCAUGCAAUGUUUAGUUUGAGGCAGUUUCACCCAAGGGACAUACCUUAGAAUAGACUCUCAUGGCCAGUAAUGAAUGACUGAUGGAGGGAACAGCAGUUUAUAGGUUUUUUGUUGUUUUUAAGGAGAAAAAUUAACACCCUUCAUCAAACCUCCUCUUUCUUCCUUCUCUCCUCCCCUCCAUCUCACCCUGCCUCCCCUUGGGAUCUUACUCCUGUGAUUAGUUUGGGUUCCACACAAAGAAAGAUUUAUUACUUUAAUGUCUUUGUGAUUUAGUUUUAUGUGAUCUUCCUAGGGACACCAGGGAGUACACGCUCCCCUUUCUGAAUAUGUUGUAAGCUCCUUUGAGGCAAAAAUGAAUGUUCCUGUGUUACAAGAACAGAGCAGCCCUUAUCAUCUUCUCGAAUCUUAUCUUUCUGAGUUAAACAUUUGGCAUCAGUGACGAAGUAAGACCAGACAUUGAGGAUGAGACGUCAAAUCCAAAUAGAAUCUUCAACUCGGAGGCACCAGUCUCUCUCACUUGAGGAAAGAAUGCGAAGGAAGGAAUGGCCUGACUUCCUCAUGUGUGCCCUGUUUCUCGGUAGGCACCAUGUGGGGGCUGCCACACAUGUGCCGAAGCUUUGGGAACGUUCCGUUUAAAUACCAAUUUCGAUGCCAAUGCCUAACAUGGAGCACAAAUAUCCAGAGGUAGAAGCUGAGAACAAGGAUGAAGGAAGAAUCAAUGAUGAUUGGGAGAUACUGAGCCUGAGUGAAGGAGGAGAUGGAAAUUAUCACUGGCAGGAGCCGGGAGUGAUGUGAGGGGUUGAUGAGUGAA